rnacentral:rRNA from 1 species
CCUACGGGUGGCAGCAGUCGAGAAUCUUUCACAAUGGGGGAAACCCUGAUGGUGCGACGCCGCGUGGGGGAAUGAAGGUCUUCGGAUUGUAAACCCCUGUCAUGUGGGAGCAAAUUUACAAGAUAGUACCACAAGAGGAAGAGACUGCUAACUCUGUGCCAGCAGCCGCGGUAUUACAGAGGUCUCAAGCGUGGUUCGGAAUCACUGGGCGUAAAGCGUGCGUAGGCUGUUUGGUAAGUCGUGUGCGAAUGGCGCGGGCUCAACCUGCGGACGGCGCAUGAUACUGGGAGACUAGAGUAAUGGAGGGGGAACCGGAAUUCUAGGUGUAGCAGUGAAAUGCGUAGAUAUCGGGAGGAACACUAGUGGCGAAGGCGGGUUCCUGGGCAUUAACUGACGCUGAGGCACGAAGGCCAGGGGAGCGAAAGGGAUUAGAUACCCGGGUAGUC